rnacentral:rRNA from 1 species
UGGGGAAUAUUGCACAAUGGGGGAAACCCUGAUGCAGCCAUGCCGCGUGUGUGAAGAAGGCCUUCGGGUUGUAAAGCACUUUCAGCGAGGAGGAAAGGUUGAUGCCUAAUACGCAUCAGCUGUGACGUUACUCGCAGAAGAAGCACCGGCUAACUCCGUGCCAGCAGCCGCGGUAAU